GGCCGGUUAGCUCAGUUGGUUGAGCUUGGUGCUGAUGACACCAAGGUCACGGGUUCAGUUCCCAUUCGGUCC
rnacentral:tRNA from 1 species